GACGAACGCUGGCGGCAUGCCUAACACAUGCAAGUCUAGGGGUAGCAAUACCACUGGCGCACGGGUGAGUAACACGUAGGUUAUCUGCCCCCAUCACAGACAUAACCCCGGGAAACCGGGGCUAAUAUCUGAUGAGGUCGCGAGAUCAAAGCUUCGGCGGAUGGGGAUGAGCCUGCGGCUGAUUAGCUAGUUGGUGAGGUAAUGGCUCACCAAGGCGACGAUCAGUAGCUGGUCUGAGAGGACGAACAGCCACACUGGAACUGAGACACGGUCCAGACUCCUACGGGAGGCAGCAGUGAGGAAUAUUGGUCAAUGGGAGCAAUCCUGAACCAGCAAUGCCGCGUGCGGGAUGACAGGGCUUCGCCUUGUAAACCACUGUCGGACGGGACGAAAGGAGGCCCUCGGGGCCUCUGGGACGGUACCGUCAAAGGAAGGGUCGGCUAACUACGUGCCAGCAGCCGCGGUAAU
rnacentral:rRNA from 1 species